rnacentral:sRNA from 1 species
AAAGGGGAAAUAAAGGCAUUCCCAUGAAUCUUUGGGCUUCCCACUCCCUGAGCCAAUAAAGAAGAGUUGGCUAGUAGGAAGGUCACACUAGCAGGUGACUUCUGUGCUUUUGGUUUGCUCACAACCAUCCACUCAGAAGUCUAUGUUUGUGUCCUAAACUCAACUCUGUCCUUUAGAAAGAGAUACAAACAUAAGGCCUGUCCCUCUCUGUGUUAGCUAAGAGCUCAGAAAAGGUAGCAUAGAACAGAAACAGGGAACAGACAUGAAGUCCAGAAUUUCACUGUAGUUAUACUAGUUAUACUCUUAGCUUUGAAAGUCGCUUAACUGAGUAUCAACCUAUGCUCUGAUUUGAUUGCCUUCCAAAGAUCUGUGUAUUAAAGACUUGGUUUUGAGCCUGAUACACUCUUGCAAGGCAACAACCUGGGGCAGUGACGACGGAUCAUUGGCAUAUGUAUGUGUUUGGGUGUGUGUAGGGGGUGUCGUCAAAGAGGAUUAUGAUAGUCCAAGUUGUUCUCACCCUCUGGCUCCCCUGAGGUGAAUGGUUGCUUUUUCUAUGGGUUUUCUACUGGCCUGUGUUGUCUUGCCAAGACCCAAAGCAAUGAGGACAGUUCCUCAUGAACUGAAAUCUUUGAAACUAUGAGUCAAUAUAAACCUUACUCUUUUUUAAUUCUAUUUAGCUCAAGUAUCUGUUAUAGUAACAAAAAGAUGAGUAGUUAACCUCCAUAUGAUGCCACAAGGGGUUAUUGAUACACCACAUAAUUUUUAGAUCACCACCAGAAUUAGGGAUUUGAAAUAAAGAUGCCAUUUCUAUUUUUCAUUUUUUUUAAGAGAGUAAUAAGCUCCGGGAAUUCUCACUCUAGUGUGUGAUGUGUGAUUUACCUUAUUCAGCCAAAGGAAGUUCAACAUUCAUCACGGAAAAUAACAUGAUGCUAUAGGAAAGUUAUCUUACACAUAGCUAACAAAUGCCUUUAAGAUGGCUGAUUGAACCAACCAGCUCUAGCAAGUCAAUAUACACCAUUUUAAUACUACUUAAUGUUAUCUGCAUUGGCUUGCCAGAACCAGAUACAAAUUCAUAUAAGACGUAAAUUAACAUAAUAUUGAAAAAUACUAUUUUUUCUUGUAAAGCUAAGUCUAUCCAAGAUUUCAAUAGUGCAAAAGCAUUUCAAUAGAACUUCUAAUAUAUUAAUCAUACGAUGGAAAACAUACAUGCUUUCGGCCUCAGCAGAAGUCAGCUAUGCUGUCAAGUGCAUUGGAGUCUCUUGCUUAGAUUUAACGAGAAAACAAUUUGAUCUCUAGCACUUUGUGCUGAGACCAAAAGAAGAGAGACCUUUGACUGUGAUCAAGAAAAUGUCUCAAGGAGGACUCACAUUGGGAUUUUUGGCAAAUCUGAUGAUAUAUAUUCAUGUUAUAUUUUUAUAUAAAAAAUCAAAGUGAUUGGAAAACAAUCAAGUCAUAACAUCUUGAUCACUUGUUAAUAUACCCACAAUUCCCUAGAACAGGGGCAACAGCUAGAGUUUAAUAAUUUCUUGCUUGCUGUCAAUCAUUUACAUUAAUCAGUGAGGUAUUGUCUAGAUACUUCUUUUGACUCUCUCCAUGUCUGACAUACGUGCUGCCCUUCACUGAGAAAAAUCUUAGGAAGCGCUGAGAAGUUUGUAGGAACAAGGUAUUUACCAUUGUGGGAUAAAAUAAAUACAGAUACAAACAAUCCAAUGUCUUGGAAAUUUAAUUAUUCGAAAUCUUACAGAGUGGUCUAAGUCUCCUGGCUUGCUUUGUUUGGUAGUCAGAGUGUCUGUGAGGAAGAGAUUUGGAGGUUAUUUGAUGAACUGAAAGGGCACUAGCUUAGGAGGUUCCUGGGAGCUUCCUGUCAGAGGGAUUGCCAGCCUACACUCACACUUCCUGCCCUUGCUCCGUUCUGGGACGUAUACUGCCUGACUAACAUCUGCUCAAAGCGGAGGAGCUGGCAAAUCCUGGGUCCUGAUCUUUUAGACGGCUCAACUGCUUCCUGGGAGUAAUGUUGCCCCUAUUGCUCCUUCCUACUGGUGAGCUGCUAAAGGGCUUAACAUGGAGGCUACGUGCACCCUGAAUAAAUAUCUGUUUACUUGGACAAGAUUAUCAUCCCCAACUCCUUACACUGCCAUGGCGUGAUUUUGAAGAAGCCAGAGGGUGAGAAUUAAAGACACUGGGGCAUCCUAGAAAACCAGUUGCAGUUCAUAGAGACAGUGUACACCUUAUUCAUCUCUGCCCACAGUGUGUUAAUAAUACAGUGUUUUAUUUAAGGGUUAUGGUCUCCAUCACUCUAAACAACUGGAAAACGAAGGACAAGAGGAAGAAAACGAAGGACAAGAGGAAGAAAACGAAGGACAAGAGGAAGAAAACGAAGGACAAGAGGAAGAAUUCCUAUGGUAGUUGCCCCAGAGCAUGGGGCCCAGCAAAAUCAGUCCUAUUAAGCAUGAGCCUUUGAAACAGUGGGCUCUCCAGUUCCUUCAUCUGUAGAGACUAACGAGCCUUGAGGAUCUGAUUCAGGGGCUUUGAACCUCAUCCUUAACUCCUUACGUCAUCCUGCAGGUCUGGUUUCAGAUGACCAAUUCUGCACCAACAUAGGUUAAUCUAGCCUCGAGGUGACCCUGAAGAGGAUGCAGCCAUGUGUGGCCUUUCCCAUUUCAAACUCUCUCUUGCUCAAUUCAUGGAGACUGUUUUCUGAGGCACUCAGGUAUGCCUUCUUUAGCUGAUUCAGUUUUCCAUUUCCAAAGCACUGUUAACAAAUUGGCAACCUUUGAGUUCUAUGACCAGAACCAUGUGAUCACACAUCACCCUUGACCUCCACUCUCAUUCAGUGUCUUUAUUUCCUCAACAGCUGAUUUUAUUGACUCUUGAUUUCUCUAAUAGAGACAGAACCUUUCUUUCAUCCCUUGCAGGGGUUCAUCUGGCAUCUUCAUAGUGCUCUUGACUUUGAGGGCCCCGCUACCCUCC